UCUCCUGGAAACGGGUGGUAAUGCCGGAUGCUCCAGUUGACCGCAUGGUCCUCUGGGAAAGCUUUUGCGGUAUGGGAUGGGGUCGCGUCCUAUCAGCUUGAUGGCGGGGUAACGGCCCACCAUGGCUUCGACGGGUAGCCGGCCUGAGAGGGCGACCGGCCACAUUGGGACUGAGAUACGGCCCAGACUCCUACGGGAGGCAGCAGUGGGGAAUAUUGCACAAUGGGCGCAAGCCUGAUGCAGCGACGCCGCGUGCGGGAUGACGGCCUUCGGGUUGUAAACCGCUUUUGACUGGGAGCAAGCCCUUCGGGGUGAGUGUACCUUUCGAAUAAGCACCGGCUAACUACGUGCCAGCAGCCGCGGUAAUACGUAGGGUGCAAGCGUUAUCCGGAAUUAUUGGGCGUAAAGGGCUCGUAGGCGGUUCGUCGCGUCCGGUGUGAAAGUCCAUCGCUUAACGGUGGAUCCGCGCCGGGUACGGGCGGGCUUGAGUGCGGUAGGGGAGACUGGAAUUCCCGGUGUAACGGUGGAAUGUGUAGAUAUCGAAAAA
rnacentral:rRNA from 1 species